rnacentral:rRNA from 1 species
UAAGGAAUAUUGGACAAUGGAGGGAACUCUGAUCCAGCCAUGCCGCGUGAAGGAUGAAGGCGCUCAGCGUUGUAAACUUCUUUUGGAUGGGAACAAUAACUUCUACGUGUAGGAGCUUGAGGGUACCAUCAGAAUAAGCACCGGCUAACUCCGUGCCAGCAGCCGCGGUAAUACGGAGGGUGCAAGCGUUAUCCGGAAUCACUGGGUUUAAAGGGUGCGUAGGCGGUGGCGUAAGCCAGUGGUGAAAUUC